UCCCUGGUGGUCCAGUGGCUAAGACUCUGUGCUCCCAAUGCAGGGGGCCUGGGUUCCAUCCCUGGUCAAGGAA
rnacentral:tRNA from 1 species